UGAGCAAUCUGCCCUUCUCUUCGGAAUAAGCGUGGGAAACCGCGUCUAAUGCCGAAUACGACCCCCUUUCACAUGAUCGGAGGUGGAAAGCUCCGGCGGUGAAGGAUGAGCUCGCGGCCUAUCAGCUAGUUGGUGAGGUAAUAGCUCACCAAGGCAACGACGGGUAGCCGGCCUGAGAGGGUGACCGGCCACACUGGGACUGAGACACGGCCCAGACCUCCGUACGGGAGGNAGCG
rnacentral:rRNA from 1 species